UUGUAUAUUUACAGAGACAGUAUUAUAUACACCAUUUUUUCUUACUCUUAUUUUGACAAAAUUAUUCGUGACUAAGCUCUGUUAUAAGAUCUCUAGGUCAGUUUGGACGCUUUUAAUUAAUAUCCUUUCUAAUCCCAGAUACAACACAGAAAUUUACAGCAAUAUUGCUGUAAUAUUGCUGGAAAGAUGUGUGCUGUAUGAGUUGUUUUAGGCCCGAUUGCACCAACGUUAAUUUUAAGUCUCACUUAAAGUUAAAAUAACGUUGGUGCAACCAGACAAAAUACUGAGUGUAAUGAGUCUUAAUUAAGGAAUCAUUCAAUCAUUCGAAUGUGAGAAUAACACUUGAUUAUGAUUGUUCAAUUUCUUAGAUCCGAUUGCACCAGCGUUACUUUGAUUUUAAGCGAGGCUUAAAACUCUUUCUAUUUCUGUCUCUUUUUGGCUUUAAAACGAGAGUUUUAAGUUUCGCUUAAAAUCAAAGUGACAUUGGUGUAACUGGGCCUUAAUGGGCUUUCUACAAUAGCGUUCGAAGAGCUCGCUAUCAACAUUAUUAUACUCUUCUAUCCUUAUCUAAUAAACGAUAAAGACAGAAUGAUGAUAAGCGCUAUGAGUAUCUAAAAAGUGCUUUCUAUUAGUGACACAAGUGUCAUUCUAUUAUUUGAUUACUUAUUAAAUGUAAAGAAAGAUAGAAUGAGGCUUAAUUCUGUCGAUUUGUAUAACUUAUUCAUUUCUUUCAAUAUAGAUUAUCUUGGUUCAACUUAUUCUUCAUUUUUCCCUAAUUCUUAGAGCUAGACAAAGAUGAAGAGUUAGUUGAACCAAAAUUAAAAUUAUACUACAUUGAUAAAAACGGGCAUAAAUGGAAAGCCAAACCAAAUGCAGCCAAAGCGUAAGAUAAUAAGUACAGCUGCUGUGUGGCGCGACGAUGGUGGUCGUGCACUCCGCAUGCACCCCCUUGAGUUGUAUUGAACAAGUUCGCACUUUGGCAGUGUUGGCCAGCGUGUGUAUGUGUGUGUGUGUGUGUAUGUGUAUGUGCCAGCACACCAGCACUCCGGAGUCACCAGAGAGUCCAGCUGCCAGCAGCGUGCGCGGUGUGCGGCGCGCGCGAGCAGUAGCGUAGCGAGUCGCCGUCGCGCGAGUUCGCCGUUGGGCGAGUCGAGUCGAAUCGAGUCGAAUCGAGCCGAGAGCCGAGUCGGGUCGCGCGAGAACAAGCAAGCGGGACGAGCCAAAGAAGAGCAAAGCUGGUCUCAGUUCUCUUUUCAGUUCCUUCGUCUUCGUCGUCGUCCCGUAUGUGCGUCCCUCGUCGGUGCGUCGCCGUCGGCCAUUGUCCCUGACAUGGAAGCCUAUCAAAAUGGCAGAGAUCGUGCAGAUGUUUUUGUUCCUAUAUAAAUCCAAGUACCGUCGGAAACGUCGUCGCGACGUCGACGAUGACGACGGCGGCGGCGGCGGCGGCGGCGCAUGGUUCGAUCAUAACCGCGAGGAGAAUUGCGAUCAGCGGUGGCGGUGUCGGUGUCGAUGUCGGUGUGGCCAUGGCAGCGGCAGCGGCAGCGGCAACGCGACCGCGACGAUGCCGUGGGUACCGUUUCUACUGUGGGCGGCGCUCGUCUGCUGGGUGGUCCACGUAAGCGCCGCCGCCUCCACCUCCUCAUCGUCGCCGACGUUGGACGCGGGCUGCGACCCCGACACCUGUGUCAACGGCGUCUGCGAAAAUGGCAUCUGUGUGUGCCGCGAGGGCUGGCAGGGCGCACACUGUCAAUUUUGCGGUGGGAAAGUCAGAUUAUCAGAGAGAAUUGGGAGCAUCCACGAUGGCUUUGGCAACUAUACUGCGGAUGUAAGGUGCUCCUGGCUGAUUGAGAGCAGUCCGAACACGAAGAUACGGAUGCACGUGGAGCAAUUUGCGACAGAAUGCGGCUGGGACCAUUUGUAUAUCUACGACGGUGAUAGCGUCGAGGCGCCGCUGCUGGCCGUCUUCUCCGGCCUGAUGCACAAGGACAGCUAUCAUAUACGCCGUGUGCCGGAAGUAAUAGCGCGAUCCGGUAGCGCGUUAUUGCACUUUUAUUCCGAUGUCGCAUACAACAUGAGCGGCUUUAACAUUACAUAUAAAAUCAACGCUUGCCCAAGCAGGUAUUCCCAUAUCGAUUGUUCUGGUCACGGUGUGUGUAUCGAGGGCACAUGUACCUGCGACGCCAUGUGGACCGGUGAGGCCUGCGACGUGCAGGUAUGCCCGAACAAUUGUUCGUUCCAUCAUGGGCAGGGCGAGUGUGAUCGCGAGAGUCAUCACUGCCGCUGUUUUCACGGCUUUAAAGGUGCGGAUUGUAGUCAAAAAGGCGACCGUGGAUUUUGGGAAAGUGUUACGUACAAGGAUCUACCGCCGGACGGCUCAGCCAGUCACUGUUCCAUCGUUUGGAAGGAUUCGCUGUACGUGGUUGGCGGUGAGAGUUUCCAUCGUGCCAAGAUGAUAUACGUGUAUGAUUAUAACGGCAAUGUUUGGGAGACACCUCACGUCGAGGGCCGAAUGCCGUUACCGCGAUACGCGCACUCGUGCGUGCUAUUCGGCGACAAGAUAUUCAUGUACGGUGGCGUCGUGGAGAACUCCACCGUGACCAACGAGAUCUGGGCGUUUGACGUGUCCGCCAAGAUCUGGGAGAACGUUACCGUGCACGAUAAUUGUCACAACAAAACAAUAUGUGGCCCACUGAAGGUAGCCGGGCACACUGCGACCCGGGUGAGUCAUGGCAAGAAGGAGAAGAUGGUUGUGAUAUUCGGCUAUUCGCCACAGUAUGGUUACUUAAACACCGUCCAGGAGUACUCUUUGGGUACGCGCGAGUGGCAGAUUGUCAAGACGAGUGGUUUUCCGGUGAGGGGUGGUUAUGGACACAGUUCCGCUUACGAUCCCCUUACGAAUCUCAUUUACGUGUAUGGUGGUUACGUGUCGGAAUCACAAAGCACGCAUAUUUUGAGCAGUCGGCUGUACUCGUACCAUCCUAAUUAUUGUGAAUGGCGGUUGCUUACGUCGGCGCCGUCAGCGCGUUUCUUUCAUACAGCUACCUUUGUCACGAGCGGACUGAUGUUAGUGUUUGGCGGUAAUAUGCACAACGACACGCAGCAAUCGCACGGCGCGCGAUGCUACUCGGCUGAUACGCUUGGCUACGAUGUCACAUGUGAUACAUGGCAUCAGUACACCAUGCCCAGAGAUAUGAGCGAUCUUCCGCGAUAUGGUCACAGCGCAACCGUCUUUGAGAAGUCGAUGUAUAUUUAUGGCGGCUUUGAUGGUGAAAUGCUGUCUGACAUGUUGAGGUAUACCCCCGGCAAUUGCGAGCAUUUAACGAAUCAGAAUCAGUGCCUGAAUGCCAGAAUAGGCGUAAAAUGCGUGUGGCAUAAACGAGAUAAUCGAUGCCUGCAGAUCACAAAGAUUCCGCAACACGUGCUCAACCAUAAAGAAUACGACGAACACGAUGGUAUUUAUAUGAAAUGUAACCUGGAUGACAAGCCACCUCGUGGCAUGACGUCGCAUGCGGAGCUCUGUAAACUCUUCACCGACUGCGUUACAUGCGUGCAAACCUCAUACAAUUGUGUAUGGUGUGGCAAGAGUUGCCUGCAUAUGAGUUGCCGGGACAAUCCAAAUUCGCCGAAUUCGGCUAUCACAGAACUAGAGCAUUGUGAUCAGAACACUGGCAUCGAAUGUCUGCAACUACACACGUGCCAUGCGUGUUCCAGCAAUCCGCGUUGCAUUUGGUCGUGGUCCAAUGGACCCGAUCGUUGCAAACCACAGUCAAAAAUUCGGGAGGUGAACAUGUUGAACAGUACGAUUCAACCACAGCGUUUGACGAUGGAUCCGUGCCGCAGUCCAUGCGCAGAGUACACGGCGUGCCGCAAUUGUACAGAAUCUGACUGUAUUUGGUGUCAAAACGAGGCCAAAUGUGUAGACAAGAAUGCGUAUCCGGCCAGUUUUCCAUACGGACAAUGUCGCGAGUGGACAACGAUAGACGCUCGGUGUCGUGCCACAGAAACCGGCAGGGAAUGGUGUAGUUUCUAUUCGUCAUGCGCCGCUUGCCGAUCGGAUCCCGGUUGCGGCUGGUGCGAUGACGGAUCAGACACUGGGAAAGGUUCGUGUAUGCCUGGUGGAGCUCGUGGACCCAGCAGCAAAACCUCGAACACAUGUUUACUUGAACAUUGGUACUUCACAAAAUGUCCAACUUGUCAGUGUAACGGUCAUAGUAGGUGUCUUCCAAAUACUAGUGAAUGCAUUCAGCCAUGCGGAAACUUGACUUAUGGAUCACACUGUGACAAGUGUAUUCCCGGCUUUUAUGGUAGUCCACUCAAUGGAGCCACAUGUCAGCCUUGCUCCUGCAAUAAUCAAGGUACUCUAUGCACGAGCGAGACGGGUAAAUGUUAUUGCACAACUAAAGGUAUUAUCGGCGAUCACUGCGAACGUUGUGACGUAUCUGGUCUCUAUCAUGGAGAUCCUACGAUUAAUAAAGGGUCCUGUUUCUAUGACUUAGCUAUCGACUAUCAAUUUACGUUUAAUUUGAGCAAAAAAGAGGAUCGUCAUUAUCGAGCAAUCAACUUUAAAAAUUCGCCACCGAAAGCCGACAUUGAUGCUGAGUUCUCCAUCACAUGUUCCGUGCUUGCCAAGAUGAAUGUCAGCAUCAAGAAAGUAAAUAGUGACGAAGUGAAACUGGUGACCAACGCAAAUUGCACAACGACUAUGUACAAGCACCGUUUUAGCAAAGCAGACUACAACUUCGGCAGCGAAGAUAACAAUACUCUUACUACAUUUUACGUAUAUGUCUAUGACUUUCAACCGCCGUUGUGGAUCCAAAUCUCGUUCUCUCAAUACUCCAAACUGAAUUUACAGCAGUUUUUCAUUACAUUUUGCACAGAUUACAUGCCACCGCACAGGUGCUUCCUCGCUCUGUUACUGGUGGCUGCCAUUCUCUGGAAGAUCAAGCAAAAAUACGACAUGUAUCGACGAAGACAAAGGCUCUUCCUAGAAAUGGAGCAAAUGGCUAGCAGGGCAUUCAGUCAAGUUCUAGUGGAAAUUGAGAGACGUGAUGUUGACAACUCGGAUUCAGAACGCGGUGACGCCGACUUUACUAAUUGUCGUAAAAAGAAGAAGAAUGCUCCUAGUCCGAUCGCACUAGAGCCUUGCUGUGGCAACAGAGCGGCGGUUCUGUCUCUGCUAGUCAGGUUGCCGACUGGCGGCGAGCCUUAUACGCCAGCCGGACAGAGCGCUGGUCUAGCCGUGGCGUCAGCUUUGGUGACGCUAGGCAGUCCGCGCAGACCAUCUCAGGAAUUAACAACAAAGGAACCGAAGAAGACAAGGAAAUCCGCUAGCCAACAUCCGGACUCCACUUGCAUUUAGCGGUAAACCGAGGUAUCGCGAUAGGACGCAACUAUAAUAAGCCUUAGAGUUGUUUCUGUGAUCUUGCCCGCACUUGAUUCGGCAGGACAUUUAUCUUCGAACUCUGACAGAGUGAAGAUGAAGUGCGAACGAUGAUCGCGUCGAGAUCAAAACGGGAAACAUACGCGAAAAUUUUUCUCGUUGGCGCGCGACUGAUCGAUGAAUCGAACAAUUCGGUUAUUUUAUCCGAAGAAUCGGCUGAAUGUGUAACGCUAGAUAUAAAUGUAUGCGCGACUUUCCUUAUCGAGUAGAAGGAAACGCCUUUGGCCGAGGAGCGAAUGGACUGCUCCAACCGGUUACGUCCGCUAAUGAUGCAUAAUUUCUACAGUGCAGUGGACAAAAUAUUGCAAUUGCCAUAAGAGUUAUUAAAAGAAUUCAUGUUAUUGAAAUGAUUAAAUUGAGGAAGUACAAGUACUUCGAUAUAAGCUGUAAAUAGGCUGUAUUUUUUGGCUCGAAUGAUAAAAAUUGAUCGUUGAUAGUGAAAAUAGAAAGACGUAUGAAAGAUCGGUGAAUACGUCGAAGAAUUCACUAUUUAUGUAUCCAUUUGUAGCGAAUGCAUAUAAUAUUCAUAUUCUAAAUCGAUCGAAGUGAGUAGAGAUAACAAUUGCAACUGAUACAGAUUUAAGGAAGGUAUAAACCGCACAUCCCGUCUUGUGUGUGCAUUAGAAUUUUACAUUAGAAUAUUGUGCCAAAUCAGAAUUUCUUUUUUUGAUAUAAAUACAAAUCAUUUGUUGAGACAUAUUUUGAUCAGCUAGAAUCGGUCGAAAAAGAUUUUCACUUUGUUACCUCUAUUCACUGUGAUUGCAAUUAAUCAUACAUCGCAUGACCGAAAAUUUGCAGGAUUCAAGAUUGACACCAGUUAACGGCGUAAUUUGAUUAGAAAUUUUUAAUAAUUAGUCGGCCAUGCUCGUGAUUUUAGCCUAGAGACAAUAGAAAGAAUAUAACAUUGUAAUAAGAAUCUCAUUCGAAAUCUCAUUUUCUUUCAUGAAGCAAGGUGCUGGUUAUUUCGCACGUUGGAUGCAUGAGUGUUUUUCUGAGCAUUUAACUAAUAUGUUUACGAGAUUCGCAUGUUUUUUUUUUAAGAAUUUAUAGAACCUCUAAUUGUAUUAUAUUUUUAUUUUUUCAUACUUACUUUACUUGUGUAUUAUUACAGAAUUAAAUUAGUAAUGAAUAUCGCAUACUUCCAUUUUUACAAUACAUUUGUACUUUACUUCUUACCGUUUUAAAUACAAGAAAAUAAUUUACAACGCUUGACUUUACGAAUUUUGUAUACAUUAUUAGCGAAAGGUAACGGUAGUGCAUAAUAGAGAAAGUUCCAGCGCACUCCGAUACGUAUGUGAAACGUGCUUAUAUUAAGAAACUUGCACGGUCUUCUUGAAACGUUUGUAAUAAUACGAAAAAAGGGAGUUUUCAUCAUAAGAUUUAUACACACACAUAUUAGAUAUUUUUUUCUCUGAAUACAUAAACUUGCGUUAUAAUAGGUUUGUUUUCUAUAGCUGAACUAUAAUGUACAUUUGAUAUUGAAAGAAAGCAACAAAGAAAAUUGUAGUCGGCGGGAAUAAAAAACAAACCUAAUAAUUAAGUUUCGUUUU